GACGAACGCUGGCGGCGCGCUUAACACAUGCAAGUCGAACGGGAAUGUUGUUUUCGGAUAGCAUUUUAGUGGCGAACGGGUGAGUAACGCGUGGGAACCUACCUUGAGGUACGGGACAACAGUUGGAAACGACUGCUAAUACCGUAUGAGCCGGAAACGGGAAAGAUUUAUCGCCUUGGGAUGGGCCCGCGUUGGAUUAGCUAGUUGGUGAGGUAAAGGCUCACCAAGGCAUCGAUCCAUAGCUGGUUUGAGAGGAUGAUCAGCCACACUGGGACUGAGACACGGCCCAGACUCCUACGGGAGGCAGCAGUGGGGAAUCUUGGACAAUGGGGGCAACCCUGAUCCAGCGACGCCGCGUGGGUGAAGAAGGCCUUCGGGUUGUAAAGCCCUUUCACCGGGGAGGAUGAUGACGUUACCCGGAGAAGAAGCACCGGCUAACUCCG
rnacentral:rRNA from 1 species